rnacentral:tRNA from 1 species
GAGCCCGUCCGGAUAAACAAGAACUGCUAAUUCAUACUCCCAUGGUUCGACUCCAUGGCUAGCUCA